CGGAGAUGUCUCGUAAUUGGAUUUUUAUGAUCAAAGUAGGGUGAUUUCUCAUUCUAAUCUCAAGAGUUUACACGAAUUGCUUCUUCUCUCAAAACACGUGUUCUUCAAAAUUGCUCAUACCAUUCUCGAUUUCCACAAAAAGAUACUUGAUAAUAAAUUACUAUAUCAGUCAUGAAAUUGUUUCUGUUUUUUGGAAUUUUAAUUGCGUUUCAUUGGAAUCUCUUGCCGUUAUCUUCUACUUAUGAGGGCAAGCUGGAUGAGACAUGCAACACUGCAAAUUUCAUGGACUAAUGGGACUUUUUCUCUGCAAGUUUAUGAGUUUGAGAGUUGGUGAAUCAGCAGCUUUGUCACAGGACCUAUUUUUGUUCUUCUUUUGCUUAUUAUGACAUUGUCUCUUUCUUUCUCUCUUCGCAUAUGUUGUUGUCUAUGGUAGUUUCAUUGAGAUUAAACAUAGAGAACAUUAUUGGUAAUCUUUGAAAUCAAACAUUUUGCUAAGUUUGGUAGAAGGCAAUGAGCAUAAAAGAAUGUGCAGCAACAAGAAAUAUUUACACAGCUAUGUAUGUCCAUUCAUCUUCUUCUUCCUUUUUCCCAAAAAACAGUGAACGUUUUCCAGAGUUUUGAUGAAGGAUGUAUGAGAUGUUUAUAGGGACGAUACAGCCUGGGGAUAUUUUGUAAAAAAAGGCUUGAGUUCUGAUUGAACAUCUUUGUCAUCUCACCUUUGCCAUAACAGGUGCGCUUGCAUGGCAGUGUGCUUAGAUGGGACACUACCUGGCUAAACAAGAAGAUGAAAAGGAAGCGGUAUACGGAGGCGCUAGAGGAGCGGGUUAUUUCACUGAUUGCGUCAUUAUUUGGUAAGAAGGCAAGUCAUAUGUUCAGGUAAAAGUAAUGUGGAGAAUUAAUUUGAGUAGAUUGAUCGGGGCAUGGAACUAUACAUGAGGUAAUAGAACUGUACUCUUUCUUUUCAAUAAAGUACUAUAUUUUAUAUCACAACCUUUGAAAACUUGAAAUUCAAUGAUUGGAGGAAUAUAUUAUGUGGUUUUGACAAAGAAGGACAAUAAUAUGUGACAAAGAAGGAGAAGGAGAUAUACCUACAAGAAGCAGAUGGAUUAUAUGAUGAUGAGUAACGAAGAAGCCAUGAGUCCAGAAGAAAAAAAGAAGAAGAACUCUUCAAAUUUCCUAAACGGAAAGCCCACAAACUGCUAAAAACGAAAGAUUCAACUGCAAAGAAGAAGACUCGAGUCAUCUGCAGAAAAGAUUUGCGAUGAGAUUAGAUUACUUAUUGUUUUGAUGGUGAAUCGUUUGGCAACAAAAGUAGAUAUUAUUGGAUUUGUGAUUGUGACACUAAUGGUGGAUUCUGUGACAACUAAGAUGAAGCUCAUCAUCCUUACGCGUUCGGGACCGAAAAAUGUAGCUUCUCUUAGUUGGAGAGACCUCAUCAGCUCCAGUUGGUAAGUGCUCUGUUUUUUUCCUAAAGAGAUUAGUUUGUUCUUUGAUUUUGCAAAUUUUAAAGUGAGUUUGGAUCUCUCAUCAACUUAAAUAUGGAGAACGACCAUUGCAGCAAAACCCUGUUUUUCUUCUUUGGAUCUAAAAGGAUCGCCAAAAUUGAUUUUUUGGUGAAGUUUGAGCUGUUGUUUUAGUCAUUUCUCUUAAUUACAGAGACCUUUUCCUUAAUAGUAAUCUCCGACAUUUCAUGUUGUUUUUAGGAGAAAGUUAUGUUUUUUUUUUUUUAAGAAUCCAUAUGUAGCUAAGUUGGGUCAUGUUAUAUUAUUGCUUCUAACGACAUGAUCUACUUAGCCUUAUUAUGUCUUCUCAUUGUUUAGCUCUAAUGAUUGCUACUCAAUUCUUCCUUGAUUAAGACCAAUGAACAAUCAAAACUUUGCAAAGCAUUAUGCUUAAUUAACCUUAUAUGGUGUCUGGAGCUAAUCGUGUGAUGUGUAGUAUCACGGAGAGGUUACUAUGAUAACUUUCUAUUUCACAGAAUCAUCAAGGAUUUCAUUGUGCAAGGUGGAGAUCCUACAGGAACUUGAAAAGGUGGUGAAUCCAUGGAUGUGUAUAUUUGGGAACUGGUUGUGGAAAGACUCACAGCUCAGUGAUGGUUAUAUAUGAGCUCGGUCAUUUGGUUCUUAGUCCAAAGAAAAGUGUUUGUAUAUUUCUUGCUCCCACCGUGGCUUUGGUGAACAGCAAGCCAAGGUCAUAGCUGAGUCUAUCAACUUCAAAGUUACGGUACAUUGUGGAGGCAAGAGAAUUAUGAUAUAGCUAAGCUCUGAUCAAGUUGUAUUUCGUGGGGAGACAAUCGACCUCUGAUUAUUUAGCACCAUUGUGGAGUGACUAAAUUCAUUGCAAACAAAUUUACCUUCUUACUUUACGUUUGAUUACUCAAGGUUGAAAGCCUUGGUAGUUUGCUUUCAUGGUUAUUUUUUUAUCCUUCUUAAAACAAUUGAAUCUUAAAACAGGAAUUUUCAAAAUUUCAAAUGCAAGAUUGAUCAAAUUUCUGUAGACAACAACUUCCAUCACUAUUCUAACCGACUAACAUAAUUUAAUAACCCAGAGGUUUUAGUCAAAUAUAGUGCUUCACUUAUUUUCUUUUACAGCGGUGUAAUCAAAAUUCACAAACUUAUGUGGCUUAUGGUUUGUUCAAACACAUUCAAACGACAGCGGAUAUGGAAAAGGAGCAAGAGAGAAUAGAGAUUUGGUAUGUGUUAGAAAGAUUGCACAACCGAUGUGAGAAGCAAAGGAGCUGUUCAGCUGUUGGUGUGGGGUUAGUAAGAUUAGGCCAAUUCUGUAUAUGUAGCAAGGUCUUCAAUUUUCAAAAUUCUUAAACCUUUUCGGCUAAAAAAAGACCAAUGGUCUUUAUGAUCGCGUUUCCAAUGGGAACUUCAACGCGGUAAUACCAUACGCAGCUUGAUGUUGUGAGUCACAAGACUCACAAAGAUUGGAUAUGA